rnacentral:rRNA from 1 species
GACAGAGGGUGCAAACGUUGUUCGGAUUUACUGGGCGUAAAGCGCGUGUAGGCGGCUUUGCAAGUCGGAUGUGAGAUCCCACGGCUCAACCGUGGAAGUGCAUCCGAAACUGCAUCGCUGGAGUCUCGGAGAGGAAGGUGGAAUGCUUGGUGUAGAGGUGAAAUUCGUAGAUAUCAAGCAGAACACCUGCGGCGAAGGCGGCCUUCUGGACGAUGACUGACGCUGAGACGCGAAAGCGUGGGGAGCAAACAGG